rnacentral:rRNA from 1 species
UACGUAGGGGGCAGGCGUUGUCUGGAUUUAUUGGGCGUAAAGAGCGUGUAGGCGGCCAGACAGGUCCGUUGUGAAAACUCGAGGCUCAACCUCGAGAUGUCGAUGGAAACCGUCUGGCUAGAGUCCGGAAGAGGAGUGUGGAAUUCCUGGUGUAGCGGUGAAAUGCGCAGAUAUCAGGAAGAACACCGGUGGCGAAGGCGGAUCUCUGGGCCUUACCUGACGCUGAGGCGCGAAAGCUAGGGGAGCAAACAGG